rnacentral:rRNA from 1 species
UAGUCCACGCCCUAAACUAUGUCAACUGGUUGUCGGGGAAGAAAUUCCUUGGUAACGAAGCUAACGCGUGAAGUUGACCGCCUGGGGAGUACGGCCGCAAGGUUAAAACUCAAAGGAAUUGACGGGGACCCGCACAAGCGGUGGAUUAUGUGGAUUAAUUCGAUGCAACGCGAAAAACCUUACCUACCCUUGACAUGUACGGAACCCUUCAGAGAUGGAGGGGUGCCCGAAAGGGAGCCGUAACACAGAUGCUGCAUGGCUGUCGUCAGCUCGUGUCGUGAGAUGUUGGGUUAAGUCCCGCAACGAGCGCAACCCUUGCCAUUAGUUGCUACAUUCAGUUGGGCACUCUAAUGGGACUGCCGGUGACAAACCGGAGGAAGGUGGGGAUGACGUCAAGUCCUCAUGGCCCUUAUGGGUAGGGCUUCACACGUAAUACAAUGGCCGGUACAGAGGGCUGCCAACCCGCGAGGGGGCGCAAAUCCCAGAAAGCCGGUCGUAGUCCGGAUUGCAGUCUGCAACUCGACUGCAUGAAGCCGGAAUCGCUAGUAAUCGCGGAUCAGCACGUCGCGGUGAAUACGUUCCCGGGUCUUGUACACACCGCCCGUCACACCAUGGGAGUGGGUUUCACCAGAAGUAGUUAGCCUAACCGCAAGGAGGGCGACUACCACGGUGAGAUUCAUGACUGGGGUG